GUGAACGCUGGCGGUAGGCCUAACACAUGCAAGUCGAACGGCAGCACAGAGGAGCUUGCUCCUUGGGUGGCGAGUGGCGGACGGGUGAGGAAUACAUCGGAAUCUACCCUGUCGUGGGGGAUAACGUAGGGAAACUUACGCUAAUACCGCAUACGACCUUCGGGUGAAAGAGGGGGCUAGCAAGACCUCUCGCGAUUGGAUGAGCCGAUGUCGGAUUAGCUAGUUGGCGGGGUAAGAGCCCACCAAGGCGACGAUCCGUAGCUGGUCUGAGAGGAUGAUCAGCCACACUGGAACUGAGACACGGUCCAGACUCCUACGGGAGGCAGCAGUGGGGAAUAUUGGACAAGGGGCGCAAGCCUGAUCCAGCCAUACCGCGUGGGUGAAGAAGGCCUUCGGGUUGUAAAGCCCUUUUGUUGGGAAAGAAAAGCGACCGGCUAAUACCCGGUUGUUCUGACGGUACCCAAAGAAUAAGCACCGGCUAACUUCGUGCCAGCAGCCGCCGUAAAAC
rnacentral:rRNA from 1 species